rnacentral:rRNA from 1 species
GACGGAGGAUGCAAGUGUUAUCCGGAAUCACUGGGCGUAAAGCGUCUGUAGGUGGUUUAAAAAGUCUGCUGUUAAAAAUUGAAGCUUAACUUCAAAGAUGCCGUAGAAACUUUUAAACUUGAGUAUGGUAGGGGUAGAGGGAAUUUCCAGUGGAGCGGUGAAAUGCGUAGAUAUUGGAAAGACCACCAAUGGCGAAGGCACUCUACUGGGCCAUUACUGACACUGAGAGACGAAAGCUAGGGGAGCAAAUGGG